AACGAACGCUGGCGGCAGGCCUAACACAUGCAAGUCGAACGAGAAGCCACCUUCGGGUGGUGGACAGUGGCAGACGGGUGAGUAACGCGUGGGAACGUGCCUUUCGGUUCGGGACAACCCAGGGAAACUUGGGCUAAUACCGGAUACGCCCUUUGGGGGAAAGAUUCAUUGCCGAAAGAUCGGCCCGCGUCGGAUUAGCUAGUUGGUGGGGUAAAAGCCUACCAAGGCGACGAUCCGUAGCUGGUCUGAGAGGAUGACCAGCCACACUGGGACUGAGACACGGCCCAGACUCCUACGGGAGGCAGCAGUGGGGAAUAUUGGACAAUGGGCGAAAGCCUGAUCCAGCCAUGCCGCUGGGUGAAGAAGGCCCUAGGGUUGUAAACCCCUUUCAGCGGGAAGAUAAUGACGGUACCCGCAGAAGAAGUCCCGGCUAACUCCGUGCCA
rnacentral:rRNA from 1 species